GGGAAUUACGUACCUCAUGCAAUACAUGAAGACAAAUGUUCAAUGCAACCUAUGUGACCUGAGACCAUUGACACUUUGUAUUGCUAAUGUAACUGUUUGAUGCGACUUGUGACAAGUGACCAUUUGGAUUGUUUUAGGAACUGUUUGAUGUGACUUGGGAAUAGAGACAAAAGGGCCAGCGAGAUAACAAACCCUGCAGAGGCGGGGGUCUGCACUUUAUGGCAGGGCGAUAGCUGACCCAUUGAGACAGAUAAAUACCUUGCGAUUCCUACAAGACAGGGAGUCUUCACGUUGUAACUGAUCCUGUGUGUUGCUUUGUGAAUGCUCCUCUUGUACAAGAUUAAAACCCUUGUUUGGACACUGAGCUGACUUCCGAUCUCCUUCCUAUGGAUCUCAAUUCUUUUGACAACUUGGCGCCCAACGUGGGGCCCCAAUACCUGUCGCUCUCUUCACAUCAACGGACCUGAAGACCUUGCAAGGCGGAGGUAUGAAAAAAGAAAUCCUCCUAGAAGUCCUCCACCACAGGGCUCUUAAAGCUCUGUUUUGGUCAGGGAGGCCAGGUUCUGUGAAGAGUGGGACAGUGACGGGGCCAACCAAGGAGGUUGAGACGGAUCAGCCAGACAAACAUUGAGUCAGGGACUCAAAUCAUCAAAAGGAUAAACAGGAGGAUGAUGAUUAUGUGCCUCUGGGUUCCCAUCUCAACCCUCCCCCGUACGUCAACCCUCAACUACCGCCGCCUCCUGCACAGGACUCCGCUCCAGCCCUUCACCCUCCUCUCUCUACUCCUACCCUCUCCGCUCCAACACAGACAGAAAAAAACAUAGAAGAUCCAAGAACACGCUCUGGUAAGUGGUAUAAUUCUUAUAACCCUCCUAACAUGCCAAUACUCUCUCCUCCAAAGAAGUCAGUGAUUUUAAAUGUAGAAGGAGAAGAAAUGUAUCCAAUGAUAGAAAUGCCCAACCCGAGAGCUGAGGAUGGACAGGAUGCAACAAUGUUAACCAUGGAGGCUGGAGGGGGAGAGGCAGAGGAGCAGGACGGGGAGGACGGAGAUUUGGAGAUGAGAGCUGCUACAACUGUGGCAAAUUUGGACAUUGGGCUCAAAGGUGUCCCGCUCUAAAGGGCAGGACACACAGAGGCUGGUGGGAAAGAGGAAGAGGAGGAGGAGGAGGAGGGGGACCCAGACGAGUUGAUGAUUCAUCAGCGAUACUAGUCAAUAAACCAGGUCAUGCACUCACACACAAACACAUACAUACCAGGACACAGAAGAUGAGGAGGAAGAAGUAUGUACACUAGAAAACACUGAAGUAUUUUUGAGUAUAAACCAAAAGCCAUAGUCACCCUGUUGGUUAAUAAUCAUAAAACUUGUUUUCUAUGCGAUACUGAAGCAUGCAAAAUAAUAAUUGGAGAAGAUGAAUGCGGUAGUAAAUUACCACUUCAACACUGUAAAGGUAUGAAGGUGAGAUCUGUAACAGGACACAUAGUCACAAAGCCACUUAGUCGACCUGUGUCGAUUACUGAUCUGAGAACAAAAUAAUUUGUUUAAAUUAAAACAAUAUUGAGUCAUGGGAUUACCCAUGUCUCAACAGGAGGGAUGGUAUCUACAAUAGAUAAACAUAUUUACUAAAAAUGUAUGCCUAAUGUAUCAAUAGAUAAACAUAUUUACUAAAAAUGUAUGCCUAAUGUAUUCUAAGCACAAUGCUCAAGGCAGACUAGUCAAUAAAACCAGAUCCAGCUCCACAGGAGGGCCAAUUAAUCCAGGAGAUUGGGGGUUGGUGAAGUGGUCAGCUUCACACUGGGAAGGGCCCUAUCAACUACUACUGUCGACACCUACAGCAGUACACAUAGCUGAAAGACAGACAAUGGAUCACACACUUCAAAAGAGAACAACCCUAUCUGUAGAGUAAGAAAAAAAAAAAUUCAGGUUUCAAAGAACCUCUGAUUGGAUGGCUUUGGAAAAUGGGCAGGUUCUAUACGUUAUCUGUAGCUGUGAUGAUUGAUAUUCUAAUCACUUGUGGAUUUUGUAUUCCUGUUUGAGAGGACUGUUACAGAGACUCAGGACACCGCUUUAAAAAAAAAAAAAACAACAACAAAAAAAAACUAUGCUGCAUGAAAGAGUCCCCACCACCGAUGACCACCGAGAGGACUACAAGAAUGCAGCACCAGAAAAUGUUACAUCUGAUUUGACUAAUGAUGAUCUAUAUGGUACAAUGUGUGAUGAAGAUAAGAACAACAUGGUUUAAGAAAAUUUUGUUUAUGUGUUUAUUCUACCGAUUAUGAUGGUACUACAGGAAAUCUAGAAGUUGUAGUGUUCUGAAUUGGUCCCCAUUGAAUUCGUUUUGGGAUAACAAUAUAAUCAAGAUGUUUUUGAAUGUAUCUUUUAUGCCUUGUCAAAUGGAGUACCUGCGUGUGGUUGCCGGGGCAGCGGGACCGUGAGAGAGUUUCCCUAUCUAGAAAGAAAAUGGUUAAUUGGAAUGUUUUGAACUGCUCGAUAGGGUUUUCGCUCUCACACUCUACAACAUUUGUUAUAAUUAUGCUUAAGCAUAAACAGGAGGGAUAUGUUAUGGGAAUUACGUACCUCAUGCAAUACAUGAAGACAAAUGUUCAAUGCAACCUAUGUGACCUGAGACCAUUGACACUUUGUAUUGCUAAUGUAACUGUUUGAUGCGACUUGUGACAAGUGACCAUUUGGAUUGUUUUAGGAACUGUUUGAUGUGACUUGGGAAUAGAGACAAAAGGGCCAGCGAGAUAACAAACCCUGCAGAGGCGGGGGUCUGCACUUUAUGGCAGGGCGAUAGCUGACCCAUUGAGACAGAUAAAUACCUUGCGAUUCCUACAAGACAGGGAGUCUUCACGUUGUAACUGAUCCUGUGUGUUGCUUUGUGAAUGCUCCUCUUGUACAAGAUUAAAACCCUUGUUUGGACACUGA